rnacentral:rRNA from 1 species
GACGAACGCUGGCGGCGUGCUUAACACAUGCAAGUCGAACGAGACGAUUGAAAGCUUGCUUUUGAAAGUCGAGUGGCAAACGGGUGAGUAACGCGUAGACAACCUGCCUUUGAGAUGGGGACAACAGUCCGAAAGGACUGCUAAUACCGAAUGUUGUGGAACUUCCGCAUGGAAGCUCCACCAAAGAUGACCUCUUCCUGAAAGUUAUCGCUCAAAGAUGGGUCUGCGUCUGAUUAGCUAGUUGGUGGGGCAACGGCCUACCAAGGCGACGAUCAGUAGCCGGUCUGAGAGGAUGAACGGCCACAUUGGAACUGAGACACGGUCCAGACUCCUACGGGAGGCAGCAGUGGGGAAUCUUCCGCAAUGGGCAAAGCCUGACGGAGCAACGCCGCGUGAGUGAAGAA